UACGUAGGUGGCAAGCGUUGUCCGGAUUUAUUGGGCUUAAAGGGUGCGUAGGCGGCUAACUAAGUCAGUGGUGAAAUAUCUCAGCUUAACUGAGAGGGUGCCAUUGAUACUGGAUAGCUUGAGUACAGAUGAGGUAGGCGGAAUUGACGGUGUAGCGGUGAAAUGCAUAGAUAUCGUCAAGAACACCGAUAGCGAAGGCAGCUUACCAAGCUGUAACUGACACUGAGGCACGAAAGUGUGGGGAUCAAACAGG
rnacentral:rRNA from 1 species